UACACGACCGUACCGCAAACCGACACUGGUGCGCGAGAUGAGUAUUCUAAGGCGCUUGAGAGAGCUCAGGAGAAGGAACUCGGCAAAUUGACACCGUAACUUCGGAAGAAGGUGUGCCCUAUUAGUGUGAUGAGAACAUCUGAGCAUGAAUGGGUUGCAAAAAAUCGGUGGCUGCGACUGUUUAUUAAAAACACAGCACUCUGCAAACACGAAAGUGGACGUAUAGGGUGUGACGCCUGCCCGGUGCUGGAAGAUUAAAUGAUGGGGUGCAAGCUCUUGAUUGAAGUCCCAGUAAACGGCGGCCGUAACUAUAACGGUCCUAAGGUAGCGAAAUUCCUUGUCGGGUAAGUUCCGACCUGCACGAAUGGCGUAACGAUGGCCACACUGUCUCCUCCUGAGACUCAGCGAAGUUGAAAUGUUUGUGAUGAUGCAAUCUCCCCGCGGAAAGACGGAAAGACCCCAUGAACCUUUACUGUAGCUUUGUAUUGGACUUUGAACAGAUCUGUGUAGGAUAGGUGGGAGGCUUUGAAGCAGGGUCGCUAGAUCUUGUGGAGCCAACGUUGAAAUACCACCCUGGUGUGUUUGAGGUUCUAACCUAGGUCCAUUAUCUGGAUCGGGGACAGUGCAUGGUAGGCAGUUUGACUGGGGCUCUCCUCCCAAAGCGUAACGGAGGAGUUCGAAGGUACGCUAGUUACGGUCGGACAUCGUGACGAUAGUGCAAUGGCAUAAGCGUGCUUAACUGCGAGACUGACAAGUCGAGCAGAUGCGAAAGCAGGACAUAGUGAUCCGGUGGUUCUGUAUGGAAGGGCCAUCGCUCAACGGAUAAAAGGUACUCUGGGGAUAACAGGCUGAUACCGCCCAAGAGUUCAUAUCGACGGCGGUGUUUGGCACCUCGAUGUCGGCUCAUCUCAUCCUGGGGCUGUAGCCGGUCCCAAGGGUAUGGCUGUUCGCCAUUUAAAGAGGUACGUGAGCUGGGUUUAAAACGUCGUGAGACAGUUUGGUCCCUAUCUUCCGUGGGCGCUGCAGAUUUGAGGAAGCCUGCUCCUAGUACGAGAGGACCGGAGUGGACACACCUCUGGUGUAUCGGUUGUCACGCCAGUGGCAUUGCCGAGUAGCUAAGUGUGGAAGAGAUAACCGCUGAAAGCAUCUAAGCGGGAAACUCGUUUCAAGAUGAGAUCUGCCGGGGCCUUGAGCCCCCUGAAGAGUCGUUCAAGACCAGGACGUUGAUAGGUCAGGUGUGGAAGC
rnacentral:rRNA from 1 species